CCACAUCUGUAUUUGUAUAAUGAUCAUAAAAAUAUAAUUUCACAGGAAUACCAUCCCACAGCACAAACACAUACCCCCACCCCCCAACCUGUCUUCUCUGGAGACCAUAAGUUUUUUCAGUAUCUGUGAGUCAGCAUCUGUUCUGCAAAGAAGUUCAAUCUGUGCUUUUUUCAAGUUCCACAUGUCAGUGAAAGCAUUUGAUAUUGUUGUCUCAUUGUAUGGCUGACUUCACUCAGCAUGAUAGUUUCUAAGUUCAUCCCUGUUGCUAAAAAUGCUGGUAUUUUGUCCUUCUUAAUGGCCGAAUAAUAUUCCAUUGUGGAUAUGUACCACAUCUUCUUGAUCCACUCCACUGUCGAUGGACGUUUAGGUUGUUUCCAUGAUUUGGCUAUUUUAUAUAGUGCUGCAAUGAACACUGGAGUACAUGUGUCUUUGCAAGUCAUGUUUCUCUCUGGAUAGAUGCCCGGUUGGGCCCAGAAUUCUAUGAUUCUGUUCUCUGCCUACAUUUGGGGUCUACACUGCGUAUAUGUCUCUAACCAGAAUGAAUACUACUGGUAUUUCUGAGCUGAGUUAGUAUCACUUCAGACAAAGGUAAAAAAAUAUUUUAGGAACCUUGUGCUGUCUUAUCACAGGUAUAGUUUUUAUUAGACACUUUGAAAUAUUAAAAGUGGAACAGUACUGUUCUGCAUGGAUCAAGUGUGUAUUUUGUGCCUGCCCUGUCCUGAGUGCUUUCUAUAUACUUCAUAGUACUGGCCUGAAGUAGGUAGUCUUAUCCUCAUCGACACAUAAGGAACCUGAGGUAAAAGAGGUUCAUUAAGCAACAUAUCUAAAGUUAUACAGCCUAUAUGUGAUACAGCUACUUCACUGUACAGCAGAAAUUGAUGGAACACUGUAAAUCAACUCUGGUAAAAAUUUUUUUUAAAAAAGUGAUACAGCCAGUAUUUGAACUUGUGAAGUCUGAUUCUGGAGUUUAAGAUCUUAAUGACUAGCUUGGAGUAUUGGGGAGAAACAGGCUUUCUUUGUACUUAUUGAGAGCUGUUAGUAUAAUUUAAGCAUUGACUUUUUAACAUGGAGUAGAUUGACAGUGGGGGUGUAAUGGCUAAUGGCAUGGUGGUUUGCACAGGUCUGUGAUACCUUUUUCUAAAUAAGUUUUCUUUUGUGUUUUGAGAUUUUUGGGGAUUUUGUUUUUGUUUAUUUGUUUGUUUGUUUUGUUUUUUGGUUGUUUCAGGGCCACACACACUGCAAAAUAUGGAGGUACCCAGGCUAGGGGUCAAAUCAGAACUGUAAAUCCCAGCCUAAACCAAAGACACAGCAAUGUGGAAUCCAAGCACACAGUCACCUCCAGAAAUGUCCCAAGAAAGUGUGCUGCACAAUGUAGAGCCAAGAACUGCUUCAUCCACCAGUGGGCAGGCAAUAGCCCCUUAAACAAGGAAACCUUCACAAGCCUCCAGACCAGCCUCACCCAUAAAUACACAGACAUCAGAAGUGAGAUAAUAUACUGCAGUCUACAGAACUGGGUCCAUAAGCACAGGCAGAACCUAUCAUGGGACUGGAUGGUCCCUUACCAUUUGGUGAUGAGAGGGGAGUGUACUACUGGCACACAGACAACAUCCCAUACAGAGGACUACUUUUCCAAGGUCAGAAACAUAAAAAGUCUACUGCAUACAUAAAAUACAAAUAGAAGUUUAAACAAAAGAAGAUGGCAAAGGAAUAUACUCCAGGUGAAGGAACAAGAUAAAACCUCAGAGGAACUAAGUGAAGUGGACAUAUGCAAUCUACACAAGAGUCAGAGUAAAGAUUCUAAAGGUGAUCCAGGAACUCAGGAAAAGAGCAUAUGGACAGAGCAUGAAGGUACAAGAAGCUUUUCGCAAAAAGUUAGAAAACCUAAUGAAACAAAAAAACAGCUGAAGAAUAUAAUAACUGAAAUGAAAAAUAUAAUACAAGGAAUCAAUAGCAGAAUAAAUUAAACAGAAGAGUACAUCAGUGAUCUGGAAGACUGAGUGGUAGAGAUCAGUGCCAUGAAACACAAUAAAGAAAAAAGAAUGAAAGGAAACGAGGAAAGCCCCAGAGAUAUCUAGGGCAAUGUCAAACAUAAGAGCAUCUGCAUUAUAGGGGUGUCUGAAGGAGAUGAUGGAAAGGGCCUGAGAGCUUAUUUAAAGAGAUAGUAGCUCAACUUGCCUAACAUGGGAUAGGAAAUGGUCACUGAAAUCCAGAAAGUGCAGAGUCCCAUACAGGAUUAACCAAAGGAGGAACAUGCUGAGACACAUAGGAAUCAAAUAGAAGAAAAAUUAAAGAUAGAUAAAAUGUUAAAAAUAACUAAGGAAAAGCAAUAAAUAAAUACGAAGGAAUUCCCAUGAGGCUAUCCUCUGAUUUUUCAGAAGACAUUUUGCACAAGAGAAGGGAGUGCGAGAAGAUAUUUAAAUUGAUGAAAGGGGAAAAAAGCUUAAAAUUGAAAUACAGUACCCAGCUAGGCACUGAUCCAUAUUUCAUGGAGAAAUUAAAUAUUUUACAGAUAAACAAAACAAGAAAUCUACACACCAAACUACUUUUAGUUUAUUAUUUUUAUUUAUUUACUUAUAUUUUAUCUUUUUGCAUUUUCUAGGGCAGCUCCCAUUGCAUAUAGAGGUUCCAGGGCUAGGGGUCAAUUCGGAGCUGUAGCCACCAGCCUACACCAGAGCCACAGCAACACAGGAUCUGAGCCAUGUCUGCAAACUAAAACACAGCUCAUGGCAAUGCCAUGUCCUUAACCCAUGCAAAGCCAGGGAUCAAACCUGCAACCUCAUGGUUCCUAGUCAGAUUCAUUUAUGACUGCACCACCAUGGGAACUCAACAAACCAAGCUAGUUUUAAAGCAAAUGGUAAAAGAACUCCUCUAAGUGGAAAAGGACACAGGCAGAAACAGGAAAAUUAUGAAAUAGAAAAUUAUGAAAUUUUCUCAGUGGUAAAGGCAAACUUACAAACAUCCACAAAUAUGAUAUCAAAAACAGUAAUCACGAGAGAAGAGUAUAAAUGUGGGACAUUUGAAAUUUAAGUGAUUAGCUUGUAUAAACAUUCAUAUAUGUAUAUAGACUGCUAUAUUGCAACCUCAUGGUAAUCACAGAGCAAAAAUCCAUCAUAGAUAGAAAGCAAAAAAAGAUAAAGGAUUCCAAACAUU
rnacentral:lncRNA from 1 species